rnacentral:rRNA from 1 species
GGGCUGCAGUAUUUUGACUGUACAAAGGUAGCAUAAUCAUUAGUCAUUUAAUUGGUGACUUGUAUGAAAGAUUGGAUGAAAUAUAAACUGUCUCUUAAUUAGUUAUAGAAUUUAAUUUUUUAAUUAAAAAGUUAAAAUGAUUUAAAAAGACGAGAAGACCCUAUAGAGUUUUAUAAAUAAAUUAAUUAAGAUUAUUUAUAAAUUUAUUAAUUAAAAUUAUUUUAUUUAUUUUGUUGGGGUGACAAAAAAAUAUGAAUAACUUUUUUUAUUAUUAUUACAUAUAUAAGUGAAUUAAUGAUCCAUUAUUAUUGAUUAUAAGAAAAAAUUACCUUAGGGAUAACAGCGUAAUUUUUUUUUUUAGUUCGAAUAAAAAAAAGAGUUUGCGACCUCGAUGUUGGAUUAAGAUAAAAUUUAAAUG